rnacentral:rRNA from 1 species
GACGAACGCUGGCGGCGUGCCUAACACAUGCAAGUCGAACGAGGUCCAUGGAGUGGCAACACUCCGGAAGACCUAGUGGCGAACGGGUGAGUAACACGUGAGGAACUUGCCCCGGAGACCGGGAUAAGCCCCCGAAAGGGGGUCUAAUACCGGAUGUCCUCACCGAGUCGCAUGGCUUGGUGAGGAAAUGGAUUCCGCUCCGGGAGAGCCUCGCGGCCUAUCAGCUUGUUGGUGGGGUAACGGCCCACCAAGGCAUCGACGGGUAGCUGGUCUGAGAGGACGAUCAGCCGCACUGGGACUGAGACACGGCCCAGACUCCUACGGGAGGCGGCAGUGGGGAAUCUUGCGCAAUGGGCGAAAGCCUGACGCAGCAACGCCGCGUGCGGGAUGAAGGCCCUCGGGUUGUAAACCGCUUUCAGUGGGGACGAACCAAGACGGUACCCACAGAAGAAGGUCCGGCCAACUACGUGCCAGCAGCCGCAGUAACAC